rnacentral:rRNA from 1 species
GACGUAGGGCGCGAGCGUUGUCCGGAUUUAUUGGGCGUAAAGAGCUCGUAGGCGGCUUAGAAAGUCAGGUGUGAAACCUCCAGGCUCAACCUGGAGACGCCACUUGAUACUUCUAUGGCUUGAGUUCGGUAGGGGACCAUGGAAUUCCUGGUGUAGCGGUGAAAUGCGCAGAUAUCAGGUGGAAUACCGGUGGCGAAGGCGGCCAAUUGGCCCAACACUGACGCUGAGAUACGAAAGCGUGGGGAUCAAACAGG